AAACGAUGAUGAUGAUGAUGAUGAUGAUGAUGAUGAUAUAUAUAUAUAUAUAUAUCAUCAUCAUCAUCAUCAUCAUCGUUUAAC
rnacentral:pre_miRNA from 1 species